GACAAACGCUGGCGGCGUGCUUAACACAUGCAAGUCGAACGGUAAGGCCCUUCGGGGUACACGAGUGGCGAACGGGUGAGUAACACGUGGGUGAUCUGCCCUGCACUUCGGGAUAAGCCUGGGAAACUGGGUCUAAUACCGGAUAGGACCACUGCCUGCAUGGGUGGUGGUGGAAAGCUUUUGCGGUGUGGGAUGGGCCCGCGGCCUAUCAGCUUGUUGGUGGGGUGAGGGCCUACCAAGGGGACGACGGGUAGCCGGCCUGAGAGGGUGACCGGCCCCACUGGGACUGAGGUACGGCCCAGACUCCUACGGGAGGCAGCAGUGGGGAAUAUUGCACAAUGGGCGCAAGCCUGAUGCAGCGACGCCGCGUGAGGGAUGACGGCCUUCGGGUUGUAAACCUCUUUCAGCACCGACGAAGCGCAAGUGACGGUAGGUGCAGAAGAAGGACCGGCCAACUACGUGCCAGCCGCCGCGGUAA
rnacentral:rRNA from 1 species